rnacentral:rRNA from 1 species
GACGUAGGUGGCGAACGUUAUCCGGAAUCAUUGGGCGUAAAAGGGUGCGUAGAUGGCAUGAUAAGUUAUUAGUGGGAAAAUCGAGGCUCAACCCUCGUGGAAGCUAGUAAUACUGUUUUGCUUGAGUACAGAAGAGGUUAACGGAACUCCAUGUGGAGCGGUAAAAAUGCGUAGAUAUAUGGAAGAACACCAAUAACGGCGAAGGCAGUUAACUAUUCUGUUACUGACAUUGAGGCACGAAAG